GGCAGUUGCCAUCCCGCUGCGUUGCCCACUGAGAAGACAUCGGGUUUGCAUCUGCAUAUGUACGCACACCUCCAGUUCUCCCAGCAACCCCUGCCCACCUCUCGCUCUCUCUCACGCCCCCCUCAAGGAAAGAUGCCUCUUCUAGUGUUAAUACCUUUUCACCUGGAGCAGAUAACACAGAUCCAGAGAUACGGAGCCAGACAAUCAAAUGGCAACUGAACAAGCUCCGGGAUGGGCACAGUGAAGGGCCACCGUGCUGGCCUCAGCAUUUUGGAUGUGGAAACAGCCCCAGAGAAGUGAGAGAGGCUGCACCCUGCAUCUCCCUCCCUCCCUGCCCGCUCUGAGUGUCGAUGCAGAUGUUGGCUGGUGCCCUGCACAUACUGCCAGCGAGGGACCUGCCAGUUGGACACCAAGCAAAGGCAAGGUGUUACAGGGUGUGCGUGGUCUACAGGCCCAGGCCAGCGGGUUCUGGGAGGGCACCUGCUCUACUACGGUCCUCUGAACUGCAGAUGUCCUGGCAGACCGAGCCCUUCCUUUCUCCUGGGGUGAAGGGCAGGCAUCACAUGUCUGGGAUCUGGGUGGUUCAUCGUGCACCCCUCCAAGACCACACACUGGUCUGUUCAGGUGAAAUAGUUUGACAUAACUUAGAGCUAUGACUGGCCUUCACUGCAUCCCCAUUGUGCUAGAGAGGCCGGUUCAUGACAAGUCCUGUCCCCACCUGGGCCAGUUUUUUUUUUUCCCCCCUGGGAUCCCCAG
rnacentral:lncRNA from 12 species